rnacentral:rRNA from 1 species
UACGUAGGGGGCUAGCGUUGCUCGGAAUCACUGGGCGUAAAGGGUGCGUAGGCGGGUUCUUAAGUCAGGGGUGAAAUCCUGGAGCUCAACUCCAGAACUGCCUUUGAUACUGAGAAGCUUGAGUCCGGGAGAGGUGAGUGGAACUGCGAGUGUAGAGGUGAAAUUCGUAGAUAUUCGCAAGAACACCAGUGGCGAAGGCGGCUCACUGGCCCGGUACUGACGCUGAGGUGCGAAAGCGUGGGGAGCAAACAGG